rnacentral:rRNA from 1 species
UGGGGAAUUUUGGACAAUGGGCGAAAGCCUGAUCCAGCAAUGCCGCGUGUGUGAAGAAGGCCUUCGGGUUGUAAAGCACUUUUGUCCGGAAAGAAAUCCUUGGCUCUAAUACAGUCGGGGGAUGACGGUACCGGAAGAAUAAGCACCGGCUAACUACGUGCCAGCAGCCGCGGUAAUACGUAGGGUGCAAGCGUUAAUCGGAAUUACUGGGCGUAAAGCGUGCGCAGGCGGUUUGCUAAGACCGAUGUGAAAUCCCCGGGCUCAACCUGGGAACUGCAUUGGUGACUGGCAGGCUAGAGUAUGGCAGAGGGGGGUAGAAUUCCACGUGUAGCAGUGAAAUGCGUAGAGAUGUGGAGGAAUACCGAUGGCGAAGGCAGCCCCCUGGGCAAUACUGACGCUCAUGCACGAAAGCGUGGGGAGCAAACAGGAUUAGAUACCCUGGUAGUCCACGCCCUAAACGAUGUCAACUAGUUGUUGGGGAUUCAUUUUCCUUAGUAACGUAGCUAACGCGUGAAGUUGACCGCCUGGGGAGUACGGUCGCAAGAUUAAAACUCAAAUGAAUUGACGGGGUCAUAGCUG